rnacentral:rRNA from 1 species
AUACGUAGGGGGCGAGCGUUGUCCGGAAUGAUUGGGCGUAAAGGGCGCGUAGGCGGCCCGGUAAGUCUGGAGUGAAAGUCCUGUUUUUAAGAUGGGAAUUGCUUUGGAUACUGUCGGGCUUGAGUGCAGGAGAGGUAAGUGGAAUUCCCAGUGUAGCGGUGAAAUGCGUAGAGAUUGGGAGGAACACCAGUGGCGAAGGCGACUUACUGGACUGUAACUGACGCUGAGGCGCGAAAGUGUGGGGAGCAAACAGGAUUAGAUACCCUGGUAGUCCACACUGUAAACGAUGAUUACUAGGUGUGGGGGGACUGACCCCUUCCGUGCCGCAGUUAACACAAUAAGUAAUCCACCUGGGGAGUACGGCCGCAAGGUUGAAACUCAAAUGAAUUGACGGGG